rnacentral:rRNA from 1 species
UACGUAGGGGGCGAGCGUUGUCCGGAUUUACUGGGCGUAAAGGGCGUGCAGGCGGUUUGUUAAGUGCAGGGUGAAAGCUCCCGGCUCAACUGGGAGAGGUCCUUGCAUACUGGCGAACUCGAGGGAGGCAGAGGAAAGUGGAAUUCCCGGUGUAGUGGUGAUAUGCGUAGAUAUCGGGAGGAACACCGGUGGCGAAGGCGGCUUUCUGGGCCUUACCUGACGCUGAGACGCGAAAGCGUGGGGAGCGAACCGG